GUGCUCGCUUCAGCAGCACAUAUACUAAAAUUGAAACGAUACAGAGAAGAUUAGCAUGGCCCCUGUGCAAGGAUGACACACAAAUCUGUGAGGCGUUCCAUAUUAAA